rnacentral:rRNA from 1 species
GAUGAACGCUAGCUAUAGGCUUAACACAUGCAAGUCGAGGGACAGGCGCACGGGUGAGUAACGCGUAUCCAACCUGCCCAUAACUAAGGGAUAACCCAGCGAAAGUUGGACUAAUACCUUAUGGGUAUGGAUGGGGAUGCGUUUGAUUAGCUUGUUGGCGGGGUAACGGCCCACCAAGGAAACGAUCAGUAGGGGAUCUGAGAGGAAGGUCCCCCACAUUGGAACUGAGGCACGGUCCAAACUCCUACGGGAGGCAGCAGUUAGGAAGAUUGUUCGAUGGACGCAAGUCUGAACCGGCCAAGUGUCGUGCAGGAUGACGGCCUAUGGGUUGUAAUCUGCUUUUAUAUGGGGAUAGGUACCAUAUGAAUAAGGACCGGCUAAUUCCGUGCCAGCAGCCGCGGUAAUAC